CGUUGAUGAUUGCCAUGAAAAAAACAUUGAAUCUAGCAUGUGCCUAGAUGCAGCCCACAAUUCAGUUAUUCAUGAUUGUUUGUGACUAGAUCCUUGGUUGUUUUCAUAAUAGAUGGCUGCUUAUGUGCUCUCUUACUUGAAGAAAGAUUUUGGCAUAAAUGCUAGAUGUUUUCUGAACCUAGUGCUUUUGUGUCCUGAUUAUAUUUGGAUAUGGUGCAAGUUUGGAUGAUCAUGGUUGUGAUGACCAGAGUUUUGAUUGGCUGAAUUUUUUUGUAUUGCAGGGGUGAUGUCGUUCAAGUAGAUACUUGGGUGAGUGCAUCUGGA
rnacentral:misc_RNA from 1 species